AGUGGAUGGGGAGCAACCUAGUUGUGCGUGUGUAAAGGUAGUGCCAAGAAAAGCGAUGAUCAUGUUGAAAAUCAAUUCCCGGUACCCGAAACCGACACAGGUGGGCAAGUAGAGAAUACUAAGGGGCGCGAGGUAACUCUCUCCAAGGAACUCGGCAAAAUGACCCCGUAACUUAGGGAGAAGGGGCGCCACCGAGAGGUGGUCGCAGUGAAGAGGCCCAGGCGACUGUUUAGCAAAACAUAGGUCUCUGCAAACUCGAAAGAGGAGGUAUAGGGGCUGACGCCUGCCCAGUGCCGGAAGGUUAAAGAAGUUGGUCAGUUUUAGGAUGAAGCUAGCGACUGAAGCCCCGGUGAACGGCGGCCGUAACUAUAACGGUCCUAAGGUAGCGAAAUUCCUUGUCGGGUAAGUUCCGACCCGCACGAAAGGCGUAACGAUCUGGGCGCUGUCUCGGAGAGAGGCUCGGCGAAAUAGGAUUGUCUGUGAAGAUACGGACUACCUGCAUUUGGACAGAAAGACCCUAUGAAGCUUUACUAUAGCUUGGAAUUGUGUUCGGGCUUCCUGUGCGCAGGAUAGGUGGGAGGCGUAGAAGGUAUUCUUGUGGGGAUACUGGAGCCAACGGUGAGAUACCACUCUCAGGAGGCUAGAAUUCUAACUUAAUUAAGGACAGUUUCAGGUGGGUAGUUUGACUGGGGCGGUCGCCUCCAAAAAGGUAACGGAGGCGUACAAAGGUUCCCUCAGACUGGUUGGAAAUCAGUCGAAGAGUGCAAAGGCAGAAGGGAGCUUGACUGCGAGAAGUACAGUUCGAGCAGGGUGGAAACACGGUCUUAGUGAUCCGACGGUGCUGUGUGGAAGGGCCGUCGCUCAACGGAUAAAAGUUACUCUAAGGAUAACAGGCUGAUCUCCCCCAAGAGUUCACAUCGACGGGGAGGUUUGGCACCUCGAUGUCGGCUCAUCGCAACCUGGGGCGGAAGUACGUCCCAAGGGUUGGGCUGUUCGCCCAUUAAAGCGGUAUGUGAGCUGGGUUCAGAACGUCGUGAGACAGUUCGGUCCAUAUCCGAUGUAGGCGUGAGAAUAUUGAGAGGAGCCUUCCUUAGUACGAGAGGACCGGGAAGGACGCACCGCUGGUGUACCUGUUAUGAUGCCAAUUGUAAACGCAGGGUAGCCAAGUGCGGAGAGGAUAACCGCUGAAAGCAUCUAAGUGGGAAGCCCACCUCAAGAUGAGUAUUCUGGUGUAAGGUCACGGGAAGACGACCCGUAAAUAGGCACGAGGUGGAAGUGCAGAGAUGUAUGAAGCCGAAGUGUACUAAUAGACCGUCGGCUUGACC
rnacentral:rRNA from 1 species